ACAGAAGGUGGGGUUGUUCUUCCUCAAUCUUCUCCAUCUUCCUCUUCCUCAAUCUUCUCCAUAAACCUUCUUCCUCUUAUCUCUCUUCCCUCUAUUUGUUAUUCUCUUUCUCUAUCGUUGAGAUGAAACUCUGAUUUCUGAUUAUGUAAUGAUGCACAAAAUUAGGGUUUCAAAAAUCUUAUUUAGCCUAAAAGAAGAAACACAAAAUCAGGACUUUGGAGAAAUCACUGGUAUCCCUUUUUGUAUUCUACCAUGCUGAGGAUUGUUGAAGCCUAAUGUAGUGAUUGAAGCAUUUCAAGAUAGGGAUUCUAGGAUGAAUGUUGUUGUUGCUCAAAAUCUCAGCAAGUUCACUAAUCCUGAAUACGGUUUUCAAGAACUCUCGGCUGACUUAGUUGAGGCAGCAGCUGCUCACUGCCAGUUAAUUGUUGUUUCCAAGUAGCUACUCGUGGAGGUGGUUUAUCAACUAUCAUUGUUGUUAGUAUGGCUGUAACUGGUUAGUGGUUCAAAGUUCAACAACUUGAAAAAUGAAGCAGGUGCGCCUAAAAUGAAGCAUGUUCCUAGGUUUACAGCGUCAGUUGCAGGAACCUGUCCACCGUACGAUCUCGAGGUUCCACCGUAAAUUAAAUUGGUUCAAUAUUUCUUUGUUGGUGUAAAGGUAUUGUUCCAUCUACUUGGCGAUCCUAAAACUCACGACGAUACCUCUACCCGUAUGAACAUUAUUGGAUGUCACACGAUUCUGUUAGAAAUAUGAUGCUCAUAGUGCCGGGGUCGUUCUCCUGUUGGCGGCAAAGUGAACGAUACUGAACAUUCAAGAGAAGUGUCUUCAUUAAACCAAACCUGCCCGCUGUCAACAUUCAUGAAAGUUUGGUUUGAACCUAUAACUUCUAAGGUGCAUUGUUAGUCUUAAGCUAAUCGGUACGUUGGAUUGGUGUCGCUUAUAGUUGAGCGUUUUCAGAAUGUUGUUCGUAAUUCGUAAGGUCACUGGCAAGGCAUUGAUGUUAGCUGAAAUCAGAAACUAUGUACAGUCUCUUCAGCAAAAAAUGAAGUUAUGCACUUAUAGUUUAAUUUCUACAACAUUUCCAACAGCUGGAUGAUGAAUCAUAUAUGUUUGAACGCCGAUCUCAAUUGUUGCAUCGUCUUAGGCAUGUAAAUUACUCGAGUAUAUGAAGUUGCUUCCUAAUUUCCCCUCCUUAAAGUUGUCUAUUUCAGUUUGAUAUACAGUUUUUGCUUGGAGGUAGACUUCAUUUUGAAUAAAUACAUGUAUUUGCUUGCUGUCUUGCGGAUGGAGUUAGUAAUUUGGAGCUGCCAAUUUGGUACAGGGUGAUAUCAAGACCUGAUAUGACAAAAACAUUAAGCAUUAAAGAGAACUUUAUGGUAGCAUCAAUGUUGGGAAUGUGUGGAGAAUAUUCACACUAACAGGUACAUAUGAGUUGAUAAUGAUUAAAAAAAUUAAAGUAAAACAAAACAACUAAUAUUUUAUAUUCUAUAAGGUAGUAAAGAGUAAAAGUUGUAUUAAGUGAUGACUAUGGCUUCUCAGCUCUCUUAUGACAAGUUAAGGUUCUAUUACGAUUUAUAUUUUGGUAUACUUAUGUCAACGCCAUAAUAUAAUGUUAGAAUUGGUUAAUUAAAAUUUCGUUUUACUGUGGAAAAAAGAAAAGGGAGAAUGUAUGAGUAUGUUGUUCACGAAAAAUAAUGGUAAUAAAUAUUUAUUGUGCGAUCUCAUAUCGGAAUUUAAACUAAUCGUCGUUGUUCUUCCAUACAAUAUUUUACUUUAGAUACACUAUUUAGCAUAACUAUUUAGUGAAAAGUGGUUCUUCAUUAACUUUUUGUUGCUUUUGCUUUAGCUCUGCUGACAAUUCAGAUCAAAAUUGCAACCUUCCGCUCAUAGAGUAUUCAUCUCUUUCAAGUUUCAGCUUCUCCCCCAAUCGGUUUGAACCAUUCAACCGUUUCUUUUUCUGAUUUAAAAUAUUUGUUAUAGCUUUGUUGGUCUAUUUAAGUUGUUACUAAUAUGUUACUAUUGCUAUUUUACAAUUUUGGUAUUUGUUUGUUGCUGUUGGAUGCUAUCUACUGCUAUAUUGGUAUUUAUUUGUUGUUGUUGGAUGUUGAUCUGCUGCUGUUUUGCUGUUUAUUUGUUGCUGUUAGAAGCCAUUGAAUGUCGUCUGUUGCUGUUCCGUUGAAUGCCGUAUGCUGUUGUUUGUUGCUGUUGGAUGUUGUCUCAUGCUGUUUUGGUGUUUGCCCGUGUUAUUCUGAUGCUGUCUCAUGCUGUUUUGGUCAUAUUUUUAAUACUUCUUAUGCAUUAUGAUGCUAUUUUGAAUAGAUUUGAAGUAUAUGUUGACAAACUAUGAAUUUUAUAUGCAUUUUUCUCUUCCUGUGUGCAGGUUCAAGCAUCCCACAGUUUCGAUUUGAACAAGGCUUAUGUUUUUUCUUGAUACUUCUCAUCAGUAUUUUCAAUAGCUUAUGUUUUUUCUUGAAGCAAAUGCGUAUCUAUUAGAACAAUAGCUUAUGUUUUUCUCAUGAGUAUUUUCAUAUGCGGGAAUGGUCUUUUGUCUAUCUAUUAGAACUCAUAAUAUCGGUUUUCACGUGUCUACAGUAAUUUAUAUGACAGGCCUUUAUGGAUUGUUCAGUAGCCGUCUAAAUCAAGCCCAGAUAAGAGUCACGAUAUCGUCACCGCCAUUGAAAAUUACAGCCUAAAUGACUUUAUGACAUAUAUGAUAUUUUCUGUAUGGUUGAUACGUUAGGGAUACAUUGAGGCUGAGCCCUCGUGAUCAUGCUUACUAUCUCGAUUACGUCGGAAAUGAAUUGUGAGGACGAUGCCUCCACCCAAAGAUAAGUGUGUUUCCUUACAAUAUAUAUGUUUUCCAUACAACAAAGUUAUGCUUACAAUAUAUGUGGCUUUGUGACAAUAUAUCUGUUUGUGUGAAAUCUCUAUGCUUCACAUCCACUUAUUGCUGCAUUUAAAUACUCUGUACUACAAAAAGGUUGUUGGUCAUAAAAUACUCUUUAUGAUAGAAUAACAUUAUUUUUUUGUUAAAUUGUUACAACCAUGUCUCUUUUCCCCUCUUCAUGAUUCGAUGCAGAUCUGGAGGAAUGGCCCCUGCUGCUAAAUACGGUGGGUUUAGUUUUGGAGGGCCGGGUAUGUCUCAUAGACAACCUGCUGCUGAUAAUGGGUCGGGGAUCACUAACAAUACUAGGUUUGGGUUUUGGAAUUUUGUAUUGAAUUUUAAAUGUGUUUUGGGGUUGCAGGUAGUGAUGUAUCCAAUUAUCAACCUUAGGAAACACAAGAUGGAUCUUUAUUGGUAUCUCAGAAAACUUGAAGAGGUUGUUAUUAGUGUUCUGUCUUUAACUUUUUCGAUUCAUGCUUCUCGUGUGGAAGGUUUAACGCGUGUUUGGGUUGGAAAUGAGAAAGUGGCAGCUAUAUGUAUAAGGGUGGCUCAAUGGAUAACAUAUCAUGGCUUAGCACUUAACGUAACGACGAAUUUGAGUCCCUUUAAAUGGAUCGUCCCUUGUGGAAUACGUGGCCGUCAAGUUGGGAGUUUCAAAGGGUUGCUAAGAGAAGCUCAGUCAUCAUGUAAUGAUCAUGGAACAUCUAAUUUGCAUGGUUUGGAUGAUGACAGUCUUAUUCAUAUUACUCAUAAGUCCUUAAUUGAAGAGUUCUAAAAAGUGUUUCAGCUUGAGUACCAUAAAACUAUUUCUGUAUCCAUGUUGUGUGAAAGUAAGGGAAAUGAAGUUAUAUACCAAAGAAACAGCAAACCUGAGUUUCUUUAAUGCACAUAGACAAUUUAUUUAGUAUUAAUUUUUUUAUAGGUGUGUAUUAAGGCAUGUGAUGCCAACAAAACAUCAUUUAUAAAUUUGUAAAUUAACAGGAAUUCCAGUCAUGU